rnacentral:tRNA from 1 species
UGGCCCUUAGCUCAAUUGGUUAGAGAACCCGGCUCUUUACCGGGGAGAUGUAGGUUCGAAUCCUUCAGGGUCAA